UACGGAGGGAGCUAGCGUUAUUCGGAAUUACUGGGCGUAAAGCGCACGUAGGCGGCUUUGUAAGUUAGAGGUGAAAGCCUGGAGCUCAACUCCAGAAUUGCCUUUAAGACUGCAUCGCUUGAAUCCAGGAGAGGUGAGUGGAAUUCCGAGUGUAGAGGUGAAAUUCGUAGAUAUUCGGAAGAACACCAGUGGCGAAGGCGGCUCACUGGAGCUGGUAUUG
rnacentral:rRNA from 1 species